rnacentral:rRNA from 1 species
AGAGUUUGAUCAUGGCUCAGGACGAACGCUGCGGCGUGCCUAACACAUGCAAGUCGAGCGAUGAAACCCUCGGGGUGGAUUAGCGGCGGACGGGUGAGUAACACGUGGGUAACCUGCCUCAAAGAGGGGGAUAGCCUCCCGAAAGGGAGAUUAAUACCGCAUAACAUUAGUUUUUCGCAUGAAGAACUAAUUAAAGGAGUAAUCCGCUUUGAGAUGGACCCGCGGCGCAUUAGCUAGUUGGUGAGGUAAAGGCUCACCAAGGCGACGAUGCGUAGCCGACCUGAGAGGGUGAUCGGCCACAUUGGAACUGAGACACGGUCCAGACUCCUACGGGAGGCAGCAGUGGGGAAUAUUGCACAAUGGGCGAAAGCCUGAUGCAGCAACGCCGCGUGAGUGAUGAAGGCCUUCGGGUUGUAAAGCUCUGUCUUUUGGGACGAUAAUGACGGUACCAAAGGAGGAAGCCACGGCUAACUACGUGCCAGCAGCCGCGGUAAUACGUAGGUGGCGAGCGUUGUCCGGAUUUACUGGGCGUGAAGGAUGCGUAGGCGGAUAUUUAAGUGAGAUGUGAAAUACCCGAGCUUAACUUGGGUGCUGCAUUUCAAACUGGAUAUCUAGAGUGUGGGAGAGGAGAAUGGAAUUCCUAGUGUAGCGGUGAAAUGCGUAGAGAUUAGGAAGAACACCAGUGGCGAAGGCGAUUCUCUGGACCAUAACUGACGCUGAGGCAUGAAAGCGUGGGUAGCAAACAGGAUUAGAUACCCUGGUAGUCCACGCCGUAAACGAUGAGUACUAGGUGUAGGGGGGUCCAACCCUCUGUGCCGCAGUUAACACAAUAAGUACUCCGCCUGGGAAGUACGAUCGCAAGAUUAAAACUCAAAGGAAUUGACGG